rnacentral:lncRNA from 1 species
GCCAUUUUGCUUGUGGGCUGCCGCCCGCCGUUGCCUCUCCGCGGAGGCUCGAAGAUAGCAAACUGGAGGCGGUGAGGGGGACGGAAUCUCUGUCUUUCUGACAACAGAUGCAUUCAACAAUCCACCGAAGGUUUGAGGAAGUGUCGGUAUUCGGUGGGACUGGUUCUUUCCCCCUUUCCCCCAGUGGCCCUCAAGUCUGGAUAUAGCCCAGUCUGGCCUCCAGCGCUGGGUGAACCCGGUUGGGGUGUCACUCGACGCCCACUAGGGGCUGAGGAGGCUCCAGUGCGCAGGCUCCGGGCACCGGAUAAAAGCGGAGCUGGCGAGUCUAGUGCUGUCUCGAUGGAGGAGCAAGAAACGGAAGAGGUCGGGGGGAGAAGCAGCCGGAAAAAUGCAGCCACCGUCAACGCCGCCUCCCUGCCACCGUGCUUCGGGGUAAAAAGCUGCCGUUGCCGUCGGUGCAGUUGCCGUCGCUGCCUCCUAUACUUCUCUUGGCCUCGGGGAAGGAUUUCCCCACCGGUGGGACAAUGUGCGGGGAGGGGAGUGGGAAUUCCUUUAUAUGGCGGUGAUUAAACGAGGGAGGGACAGACAGUGAUCUCGAAGAAAAAAGGGGGAGACCAAAGAAUAAAAGAAGGGUUUCCCCACUAAAAUGACACGGCGAUUCCGGCUCUUGUUUUGGGGGUCUUUCCCCGAAAUGGUUUCCGUCUUCCCCUUGCCCCGCAGCGACCCAGAGCGCUGGGGGAAGCGGAGUGGGGAGAGGCAGAGGCGGUCUCGGCAGCCAAUCAGCGCCUGAUGUGUCCUGUCGGGCGCGUCGUGGUUGGCUGGCGAUGACCUCAUCCUGCAGCAGCGGGUGGGGCCAAAGCCGUAGGGGGAGGCUGUUGCAAAGGUAGAGAGGGAGAAGUGACGAUGGUGAUCGUUGCUGCCGCGGCCGAUAUGGAACCCAAGCAGUGGCGAAGGGAAUCGCAAGGCUCUUCCCUGACCAUUUUCUACUGUCCCUGCGCGAGGUGAGGGCCCCGGCUCGGCCUCUGCAAAACUUUGGGGCGCUGGCGCGGAGGAGGAGACAGGAUUUCUCCCGUGACUUUUGUAACUGCGUCAGGGCAAGAUGGCGCUGGGUCUCUUUGGGGCGCGGGGGGAGAGGCACGUCCACCGCCGCAGCGCAUGUGACCGGGCUGCAUUCCUGUGGGGUUUGGCUCCGACCCAGGCCGGGGCGGGGGAGGGGACAGGGCUUGGGCGGAGGAGACUGUGGUGCGGUCGGCGUUGGCGGCCUGAAGAGGAAGAGAUGACUGUUGGAAAGCGUUCCCCUCCCCCAUACGGCAGAACAGCUGCGGCUCCCAGGGGAAAGCCCCCGCAGGACAGUCCUCGUGGGGUGUGACGGCUGUUGGUGGAGAAGGUUUGGCGCCCUAUUUUCUUAUCUGCCUUUCUCCCCGCAAAGUAUACUUAUGUAAGGUGGUAGUUCCCUGACGUGGGACUCGGAAUCAACUAGGAGUCCUUGAGGGCCUCUGGGAGGCCUAGCGAGGGGUAGACCAGCUUCUGGGGGUACAACGUCAAGGAGGAUCGAUUACUUUCUGAGGAAACAGUUUCUCAGAUUGAAAUAGAAAAGUAUUUCCAAAGUUUGGAAACAAAUUUAAAGGUGUAAAUAACACCCAGGAACACUUUAAUUGCUUUGAAAAGGCAUAAGCAGCCAUCUGAAUUUAAGGGCCCUUUUCAGACUCUUCCUUCCUCCUGUGAUUCCUGUUCUUUAUUUCAGUUUUCUGUCUGUACAUCCCUUAAGAAUAUAGUUUUGUCGGUGGGAUUCGCUCUUUUGUGCCCAGGCUGGAGUGCAGAGGCGAGAUCUCGGCCCACUGCAACCUCCGCCUCCCCGGGUUCAGGCGAGUCUCCUGCCUCAGCCUCCCAGGUAGCUGGGAUUACAGGCGCCCACAACCACACCCUGCUAAUUUUUUCUAUUUUUAGUAGAGACGGGGUUUCACCCCAUUGACCAGGCUGGUCUCGAACUCUCGAGAUCCGCCCGUCUCAGCUUCCCAAAGUGCUGGGAUUAUAGGCAUGAGCCACCGCGCCGGGCCUGCUUUUUUUUUUUUUUUUUUUUUUUGCACUGGGCAUUAGUAAUACGGAAUAAAAGCCGUGUUUUAAACUGUAUUAAGUUGUAAGACUUUUCAGUACUUUCAAGUCUGCUUUCUUUCUGUUGCCCUUUUGUAGUUUUUAAAAAUAAAAGAUGCAAUUAUAAGCACUUCCGGUGAAUAUUAUUCCUUAAGGUUCCUGCAUCAUCAUGAAAUUUGAAGCACUUUUAUAGUAGUACAAACUAUACUUUUAGCUUUUGAAAUCUCGAUAGGAGAAAAUAUCCAGCAGUUUUAGGGGCUAUUUUGGCAUAUUCAUUAAGGUAGACUAAGUUUGUUUUUCGUUUUUCCCACUUAGCCAAACUAGUUAAAGUAGUCAAAACUAGCAAAUAAUUUUUAAAGGGCUUCUCCUUUUGGGUGGUGUAGAGGGUGGGGAGUUAUUCAACAAACACAUUUGCAGCCAAAAUCUGGCCUACUUCUUGGCAGAGCGCUUAUACUUGGUGCUACGAGAAAAUGAUUGCUGGACCUGAAAAGAACCUGAGGUCAAGGUUGUGCUAUUUCCUUAAGUCUUAGUUGUAGGCUCUUGGUAGUUUGAAAACAAGAUUGGGUUUUUAAUUCAUUUGUGUAUCCUUAAAUCCUCACUAGUUUUUGUGGAUUUCUUUUUUCAGUUAUAAGCAACUGAAUGUGGAUGAGCUAUAAAUAUUUAGUACAAAGAAUGUAAUUUGUCCACUCUGAAUAGAAAGUAAGCAUUAAGAACUCUUGAAUGUCUUCAAGGGUUACUUUGUUACGUGUAAGAUGUCUCCCCUUCCUUCAUAGCAGUUUUUAUUCCUGCUUAAAAAGGGAACUAAAUAUGAAGUCAGUAGAUUUUAAGGUAAUUUUCAGAAUGUUUCUACUUUCACCGUGCCUUAAUAAGGAAAAAAGGCCAUUUUCCAAGCGAAUGGAAACACCCUUUCCUUGUUUUGUGCCUUUAAUCAGCGUGUACCUUCAUUGUUCCUGAUUGCCAAAUCCACGAACUUCUUGAGCUCUCAAUUUUUCUUGACUUUCCUAUGGCAUUUUAAAUACUGUUCAUACUUGGAAUUACUUUUCUUUGACUGCCUUCAUACAUUCAUAUAUUCUGCCUGGGCAAUUUCAUUUGGGCCUAUUAUGUUCCAAUACCUCUCCAAUUUUCACCUCCAUCUUAGCUCUGCCAGCUUCAGUGCCACAGGUAGGCAAUGUAAAAGUUUACUGGGGACCACAGGCUUUCUGAGCUCAAUAAAAAUACUAAGCUUGGUACUUGUUUUUUAAGAAUUUUCUUCCCCCAUCCCCUCACAAAGAUUAUUUGAGUAAAUUACACCCCAACCUCCUUUUCCUUGUUUUUGUUGAAAUUAUUGUCUCUUAACUUUGGAACAUUGCAGUUGCGGUAAGCUUACUAGGUUCACAUAGCAUAUCUUCUGGUGUGUUAAAAUUAAAAUGCACACCAUCUCAAAAGUGCUAUGCCAUUUCAUACCUUUGUGCUUUUGUCCUGCUACCUGGAGUGCGUCUUUCUCACUUCUGGAUAAUACAAUUUGAACCUUUUCUUUGCCUCUUGAAACUGCAAAAUCCCUACUCGCAAGUAAAUGUGUCAUUCUUUAUGUUGAUAACCCAGCCUAGUGCUUGACACUUGAUGGGCAUUCAGGUAUACAUGGUUUUUUAGAGAUUGAUAAGAUUAACUGUGCAGUCUAUAAACUGUAAAUACUGGCUUUUAAACUCUUUUAAAGGAGCUCUUUUGAUAAACAAUUUGGAUAAGAGAUGAAAGGUUAGGGAGGCUCCAGGCAAGGCAGAAGACUGCUGAUGGCCCAGAGAUAGUUCUGCCCCAAAAAGGUGGGAAGAAGAAAAAAACUGAGCUGGAUAUUUUUAAGGAAAUAUAUUUUAUAGCAUUUUUCUUUAAUGCCUAGUUUUGCUGCAAGCACUGAAGUUUAUCCUGCAUUUGUAUUUCUUAUUUGAAAAAGAAAUGGCCUUUGGGGUUUGUUUUGUUUUUUGUUCCUUUGUAAGCACACUGCAAAAGCGGCGUUGUCAGCGUUGUCUUUUGAGGUAUCAAACGUGCUUUCAGUCAGCAAAUAUCUUGUAUAUAGUACCAUUCCUAAUAAACUAAAUUGGUUAUCAACCUAAUACAAACGGUACUUCAUACAACUUAAGCCUAAACUAGAUUAGAUUAUGUAGAAACUUAUUCUUAGAGAAUAUAUCGCCUUAAUAUUUCUUAUCCUGAAAAGAGUAUUUCUUAAGUGCCCCUCUCAAAGUAUAUCGAUUAAUAUUUGUCUCAAAUUUAAAACUAUAUCCUGGUUUUUCCCUUACAGUUGUUUAGCAAGUAAAUGUUUACUUACUAAUUUAUUUUCUCCCAGACUUCAUUCUACCAGUUUAAGCUUAGCUCAGUUUUGUUUUUUGGUUUUGAGAAGGAGCUUUGCUCUGUCACUCAGGCUGGAGUGCAGUGGUACGUUCUCAGCUCACUGCAGCCUCCGGCUCCUGGGUUCAAGCGAUUCUCCUGCUUCAGUCCGUGAGUAGCUGGAACUACAGGCGCACACCACCACGCCCAGCUA